rnacentral:rRNA from 1 species
UUGAACGCUGGCGGCAUGCCUUACACAUGCAAGUCGAACGGCAGCAUGAUCUAGCUUGCUCGAUUGAUGGCGAGUGGCGAACGGGUGAGUAAUACAUCGGAACGUGCCCUGUAGUGGGGGAUAACUAGUCGAAAGAUUAGCUAAUACCGCAUACGACCUGAGGGUGAAAGUGGGGGACCGCAAGGCCUCAUGCUAUAGGAGCGGCCGAUGUCUGAUUAGCUAGUUGGUGAGGUAAAGGCUCACCAAGGCGACGAUCAGUAGCUGGUCUGAGAGGACGAUCAGCCACACUGGGACUGAGACACGGCCCAGACUCCUACGGGAGGCAGCAGUGGGGAAUUUUGGACAAUGGGCGAAAGCCUGAUCCAGCAAUGCCGCGUGUGUGAAGAAGGCCUUCGGGUUGUAAAGCACUUUUGUCCGGAAAGAAAUGGCUCUGGUUAAUACCUGGGGUCGAUGACGGUACCGGAAGAAUAAGGACCGGCUAACUACGUG